rnacentral:lncRNA from 1 species
AGGGUGCUACACUAAACACCUCCACAUUAAAUAAAAAUUGAUUUAGGGCCAUGUCGUCACCUUUUUUUCUCAAAAUCAUCACUAAUUUGCUAACUCUGGUUCAUGUGUUAGACAUGUCUCGCUUUGCAAUCACAAAGCAUUUGUCAAGACUCAGUACUCCCUUCGAGCCCAUGACAACUGCCACGAUAUCUCGAUAGACAUUCAUUACCCGAAAUGUCAACCGAAACCUCGCAAGGCUCUUGCAUCAAUUUUACGUCUCCUCUGUGAGCAACAGUUACUAAAUAUCAUGUUUUAAGGGAAUAUAAAUUAUUUUUAAAUCAAAAAUAAACAAAUGUAAUUUCUUCCACACAAGGGUAUUUUGAUCAUUUUUACCCAAAAAUUUUGCAACCUGGUUAAAAUACAGCAUACGAUCCAAAAAUAUACAUUUCUUAUCUAAAAAUAAUUUUAGUAAUCUAAAUCAUCAUUUAAAAUGAAAUUUUGGCUAAUCAAACUAAAUAAAAUAUUUCAUUUUCUUAUAAAACAUAUUUAUAGAAUCCUGCAUAAACAAUUUUUUGUAGCGUAAGAGCAAAAUAAAUUCAUAUAUAUAAUAGCACACUAAACCAGGUAUACGAAAAUAUUCUACAAUGACAUGUGGGCCCUAAAAUAACCGAAAAUAUACAAGACUGUAGACCUUCGAUUUCUAAGGAUGCAAAUUCAAAAGCAACCCUCGACAAAAUCAGUUGUCUACAGACUGUCCUGAGCUUGAAAUGGAUAAAAAGAAGGGGUGAGUUUUUACAAACCCAGUGAGUAAGUAAAAUUCAUCUAUAACAUCUAAAGUCGAGUAAAUGGAGACAGUUAAAUCAUCCCAUCAUAAUAUAGUUCAUAACAUUCAAAACUCAUUUCAAUUCCUAUAAAACAAUUACAUUUCAUAAAAAUAAUUAACAAGGCUUAUGAUUCUCUUAAAAACUUGGCUUGUGCAAAAACUCAUACCUGGUGACACCUUGGCCCAGGCAUCCAACCAAGUUCGCCAAGGAUGUUAAAAUGACAUUACCCAUAAAACAUGUUUUUACUUUUAAAAUAUAGCCAUUCCUUGGCGCUGGCUGAGUUUCAUCCUCAUGUGGUGGUUCGGCGUGAAGUGAACUCUAAACUUACCUUAGGAGAUACCCUUCGCGCUUCUCAUACUAAGGCAAAAUAUAACGGGGUUUACCGUACCCCUCUAAUAGGCUAGUCCAUGAAAACCCGCCCACUGCAGUAGGCUAAUCAAAUAACCCACCAAAUCAAUAAACAUUUCGAUAGCAUGACAUGGCUAAUAUGAUAUUAUCCAGUCUGUCAAGGUAAAACAAAAAUAGUUCAUAUAAUCCACAAACCACAAAUCUAGCCAUUCAUGCCAUCACAUUGUCAUAAGCCAUCAAUCAAAUUACAUAUAUAUAUAGAUAACACAACUAUUUAAUCUCCAUUUACUCAAUUUCCAAAAUCAUCAUUGAAUUGCAAAACAAUUUAUAAAUCUCAUUCAUUUAACCAUCACUUAACUUGUAAAACAUAAAAAUCUACGGUUUAAGUUCAUUAUUCUUUAAAAUCAUAAAAAAAUGAAUAUAAACUACUUUAGAUAGUUAAGAUGAACAUUUGAUUACUCACAAUCGCAGGAGUUUGGAGUACUCCUAUUCUUGGUCCUCGAGCACAAUAUCUUUACCCUUAUCAGAGGGCGCACCACAUAUGCAUAAUACACGACAUGUAAUUCAAUAUAUUUGUGCCAAACUAUUAUAAAACUAUUUUAGUCUCUAUAUGAAUGCAUGACAUUGAAUGAAAAUUGUCCGAAUAAUCACUUAAAGAUGGUGUUCUACGUGGGUUCAAUUAUGAUCGGACUGAAUUGGCAUUCGACCUAACUCGCACUAUGCCUUGUUUAAUUAGCCAAAACAUCCAAUUCAACUUCAAAUAUCUUCAUUACACUUCCAAUAUUCCAAAUACACCAAAGUAUCUCAAUGAUCUUAAUUGUGACUUAAUUCACCGUAAUCGAAAUUCAUUCCGAUUUCGAUAUCCGAUACCAUAAAUCAUCAAUUACGAGCUAAUAACAUGAAAUACAACAAAAUCCAUCAUCAACAUGUCACCUAAUAAAUUCGACUAAAGAGGGUUAUUGAAGGGCAUGUGAUUUUCUUGCUUGUUUUUCAUGCCAAACAUCAUCAAACAUCUAAAAACACUAAGAUAUCAUGAAAUCUAGCAAAAUUCAUCAUCAAAACCUCUCUCCCUAUGUUUAGCUAGCAUGUAUUCCCUCAUGGAAACUUGUGUUUCAUCCAUAGAAAAUGAAAAAGAAAGCAUGGGUAAGAUAGAUCUUAAGCUAAAAUUGAAAAAUCUUACUUUUGAUUGCUUUGUUCCUUGAAAUUCAACAAAUUUCUCUUGAAUUUUCCUCUCUAGG